CAUUCUCUCUCUCUCUCUCUCUCUCUCUCUCUGUGUGUGUGUGUGUGUGUGAGAGAGAGAGAGAGAGAGAGAGAGAGAGAG